GACGAACGCUGGCGGCGUGCUUAACACAUGCAAGUCGAACGGAAAGGCCCUGCUUGCAGGGUACUCGAGUGGCGAACGGGUGAGUAACACGUGGGUGAUCUGCCCUGCACUUCGGGAUAAGCCUGGGAAACUGGGUCUAAUACCGGAUAGGAGCCAUUUUUAGUGUGAUGGUUGGAAAGUUUUUUCGGUGUAGGAUGAGCUCGCGGCCUAUCAGCUUGUUGGUGGGGUAAUGGCCUACCAAGGCGGCGACGGGUAGCCGGCCUGAGAGGGUGGACGGCCACAUUGGGACUGCGAUACGCCCCAGCCUCCUACGGGGGGCAGCAGUGGGGAAUAUUGCACAAUGGGCGCAAGCCUGAUGCAGCGCCGCCGCGUGGGGGAUGACGGCCUUCGGGUUGUAAACUCCUUUCGCUAGGGACGAAGCUUUUUGUGACGGUACCAAGAUAAGAAGCACCGGCUAACACGUG
rnacentral:rRNA from 1 species